rnacentral:rRNA from 1 species
AGCGUAGACGGUGUGGCAAGUCUGAUGUGAAAGGCAUGGGCUCAACCUGUGGACUGCAUUGGAAACUGUCAUACUUGAGUGCCGGAGGGGUAAGCGGAAUUCCUAGUGUAGCGGUGAAAUGCGUAGAUAUUAGGGGGAACACCAGUGGCGAAGGCGGCUUACUGGACGGUAACUGACGUUGAGGCUCGAAAGCGUGGGGAGCAAACA